rnacentral:lncRNA from 11 species
CUGCAGUGCUGCUCUCCAUCCCUCCAAAGCGGUGGGCCCAGCAAGAUGCCGGCCUCCUUCCAAACCCUGCCAAGCCUUCCCUUUCGCCUUGGCGCGCCCUGCUUUUCGAGUCUUAUCCUUCCUCAAAGGGUCAAGGAAAGGAAAGGAAAGGGAGGCAGAAGGUGGGAUGGCGCGGAGGCGAAAUGGCAAGGCGGGGGAAGGGAGGAGGAGGAGAGGGCCGGCUUGCUUGCCCGUCUUUUGAGGUCGUUGGGGAAACAAAAGCGGAUAGGGAAUCAGAACAAUGAUGAUAGUAUUUCAGGCACCGAAAACCCAGACCAGAGUGCGGGAAAGGAGAAGAGGCGGUGGGCGACUUACCCAGGAGGAGCCAGAUGGAGCCACCAGACACCAGGAACAAGAGAGCCAAAAAGAAGGACCUAGAAUGGAGGAAGGAACUGCGCAGCCCUCCAAAUGUUGAAACCCUCAGCAUUCAUAACCACUGGCUAUUCUAUAUAGUUUAAUGGGAGAUGACAUUUAACAUUUGAGGGGCUACUACAUAUUUUUUAUCCUUGGUUUAGCACAGAUACAAAGUGGUAGCCAUGAGCAACUUGUUCCUUGGGACAAAGGUUGAGAAGCUGAAAAUGGAAAUCAGUGGAAAAGGAGGUAAAUGGAUGAGCACAGGGAAAGGGCAAUGGCUCCAGUGUCCCAUCUGGACAGCAGAUCAGGCUGAGGCAGACCCAGUCCAGCUCUCCAAACUGCCUGAAACUGCAGGAUAUUCCAACAUUUUCGGCAUAUUCCAGAAUAUCCCCUAAUUUUGCCUGAAGCAUGGGAAAACUGGUUUAAAUCCUGGGAUAAUCACCAGAAGUAGCUUUGUGGAAAAGUCCAGGGUUUUUCACUUGUGUAGACUGUCAGUUACAGAAUAUCUUCC